rnacentral:misc_RNA from 1 species
GUGAAUCAUCAAAUCUUUGAACGCAAAUUGCACUCUCUUUGGAGAGUAUGCCUGUUUGAGGGUCAGUAAUAAUAAAAUCGGGGUGUUGCUUUCUUUGUGACGCACCGGAGAUUGGGCUACCUUUAACUCUCGGGUUUAAGAUGCUUAAAAUUGAACUUUUUUGCGCACUUUUAGACGUACAUAAAUUUUUUUUUUAUUCGUCUAUUCUUAAUGCCAAAAUCUUAUUAGAUGCGAUCACAUCGUGUGGUUUCGUGUCCAUAAAAUUUUCAUGAUGUGACCUCAAAUCAGGUAGGAGUACCCG